UGUGGCUUAGUGGUAGAGUGCAUGCCUAGCAUGCAUGAUACCCUGGGUUCGAUUCCUCAGUA
rnacentral:tRNA from 1 species